UUGAUUGGGGGAGGGGUGGUGAAGAAUAGUCCCUUUGCUGCUGCUUUUCCCUCACUGGAGCUGUACAGUAGAGUUAAAGAUUGCUGUUGGUCAUUUCUCGAGUAUUUCAGAAUCUUUUAAAAUAAGACAAGAAUCUAACGCCCGCGGAUUUUUCAACUUUAUUCUUUUACACCUUUUCACCCGCAUAUUGUUGGUCUCUUAAACCCGCCAGUAAUGCCUGACUGCAUUAUCCUCAGUUUUGCAAACGGAUGUAAUUAAUGGAUAUACUGGAGUUGGGAAAGAACAAAUUUGAAAUAUGGAUUUAAGGGUGGUAGUUAAUUUUGAGCAAAUAUUUGUCUUUUUUCCUAUCUUCCCCUCCCCCUUCCAGUCACACACGUGGACCUAACUGCACCAAAAGCUUUUCUAAGGAUACUUGCUGAGAAGAAAGUUUUCCCAAGUGGGCAACCUAUCUAAGCACAGCAAGCCAGACUUGAGUUUUUCCCUAUAGUUUGAAGAUCCCUACAGAAUGAUUGCUGACAAAAUGCAACCUACCGCUGCCUGGAGAACCAUUCAGUGUCACAUCAAAGUUUACUAUGUAUUUAAUGAAGUACUACUCUUAGCAAUUGACAACCCUGGUGUAGUUUGUCUAACAUUAAAAUUGGGAGCCUCUGAGCUGAGCAGUAAAGGUAAGGAGAGCUCAGUACACAAGGCCAAUUUUUGUUGUCCGGCUGGAAAUAAUACCAUGCCUACUUGAGACUGCACAUUAUUCUUUACCUUAGAAGUUGUUAAGCUUUCACUGUGCUUAAAGCCUGAAUUUAAUGUAGUUUUCUGUUCUGAUAAGUUGAAUUCAGGAUGUAAUAUUCUUACAGAGUUUUAAAGGGUUACUAAAAUGGAUGUAUUCCAUGAAUUUUAUGAUCAUAGGAAAAUUACAGACGGCUUAGUUUUACUUUUUCUAAUUGACCACAGAUAAAGCAUUUAGAGAUGCUUACUUACAUAUUUGCAGUUUGGUCAUGCUGUUUGAGUUGUUUUAGUGCAUUUAAUGUAAAUAAAAUUAUGCAUUUUUAAACUACUUGUUAAAUUGCCCAGAAUAAGCAUGUGAAAUAAAAAUUUUAAGGUUA